UAUGAUGGUGAAAAGCAUUAGUCAUUUGUAUCAGCCAGGAUGGGGAGUUUCCUGUGGUUUGGAUAAUGUUCUUGUUUUGUCUGUGCUCCGAGAUCAUUACGGAGUGGUCUGAUCUCUGCCAAAAGACACGAGGGAUUUCUGGGAGCACCACAAGCUAAGACAAAGACAUGGAACAGAGUCUUUCCUAGAGCUUUCAGAGAGAGAACACCACCUUGAUUUCAGACUUCUACCCUCCAGAACCGUGAGACAAUACAUUUCUGUUGUUUUAGGCUACCCUGUUUGUGGUAUUUUCUUACUGUAGUCCUGGAAAACUAAUAAAGAUGCCAACUUUAAAGUGUACAGAGUUGCCAGUUGCGGUGGCUCACGCCUGUAAUCCCAGCACUUUGGGAGGCCAACGUGGGCGGAUCACGAGGACAGGAGUUCAAGACCAGCCUGGCCAAUAUGGUGAAAUCCCAUCUGUACUAAAAAUACAAAAAUUAGCUGGGCGUGGUGGUGCGGAGCUGUAGUUCCAGUUACUUGGGAGGCUGAGGCAGAAGAGUCGCUUGAACCCGCAGAGCCGAGAUCGCACCACUGCGCUCCAGCCUGGGUGACAGAGUGAGACUCCAUCUCCGCCUCUCAGGUUCAAGAGAUUCUCCUGCCUCGGCCUCCCGAAUAGCUGGGAUUACAGGCAUGCACCAACCAUGCCUAGCUAAUUUUGUAUUUUUAGUAGAAACGGGGUUUCUCCAUGUUUCUCAGGCUGGUCUUGAACUCCCGACCUCAGGUGAUUUGCCUGCCUCGGCCUCCCAAAGUGCUGGGAUUACAGGCAUGAGCCACCUCGCCUGGCCCAGAACAAACUUCUUAAGGGUCUGUCUAGCUCUGACAUUCCACAAGGCUAUGACAUGGUCCAGGAAGAGUUAGGGCAGAAUAGCAAAUUCAGGUGCCUUUGCCUUUGGGAAGAUGGAGGCAAAGCACUUUGUCCAUCCAAUUACUUUGUAUUUAUUUAUUUAUUGUUUGUUUGCCCCGACUCCAGUCUUGACAAUUACUCUGCAUUUUAAAACACUGUUGGGGCUAACCCUACCAGCCUCUCCCCUGACCCGAGACAGAGUUAGCAGCUAAUGUAGCUAC
rnacentral:lncRNA from 1 species